rnacentral:rRNA from 1 species
UACGAAGGGGGCUAGCGUUGCUCGGAAUCACUGGGCGUAAAGCGCACGUAGGCGGGUCGUUAAGUCGGGGGGUGAAAUCCUGGAGCUCAACUCCAGAACUGCCUUCGAUACUGGCGACCUUGAGUCCGGGAGAGGUGAGUGGAACUCCGAGUGUAGAGGUGAAAUUCGUAGAUAUUCGGAAGAACACCAGUGGCGAAGGCGGCUCACUGGCCCGGUACUGACGCUGAGGUGCGAAAGCGUGGGGAGCGAACAGG